GUUUUUACCUGGUGAGAAGGUACCUGUGCACUUAUCCAUCUGUAACAGGUAAAUACAUAUUUUUAGUUUUUACUUUUUUUUUUGUCCAGUGACAAAAGAUGAGAACCUGAUGAUCAACUUCCACCAUUCAUUUCGCUCGUCUCUCACAUGUUGUUUCAGCAGAACAUAAGGAUACUGAACUAACAGAUCAAGUACUGGAUCUACCUUCUGAGUUGAUGGUACUGAACUGCAGUGUAAGAACUAAAAACCCAAAGCAUUUUAUUGCAUGAAAUCAUAAGAAAGAAAACCGUAUCACAGCUGAGUACAGUGAUAAUUUCUUCUGCCUUAUUUUACACUAAAAGUAAAUAUCAUACAUGAUUGACACAGAU
rnacentral:lncRNA from 1 species